rnacentral:rRNA from 1 species
UGGGGGAUAUUGCACAAUGGGCGAAAGCCUGAUGCAGCGACGCCGCGUGGGGGAUGAAGGCUUUCGGGUUGUAAACCUCUUUCGCUAUCGAACAAGGCCCGCUUAGGGUGGGUUGAGGGUAGGUGGAGAAGAAGCGCCGGCUAACUACGUGCCAGCAGCCGCGGUAAUACGUAGGGCGCGAGCGUUGUCCGGAAUUAUUGGGCGUAAAGGGCUUGUAGGCGGCUUGUUGCGCCUGCUGUGAAAACGCGGGGCUUAACUUCGCGCGUGCAGUGGGUACGGGCAGGCUUGAGUGUGGUAGGGGUGACUGGAAUUCCAGGUGUAGCGGUGGAAUGCGCAGAUAUCUGGAGGAACACCGAUGGCGAAGGCAGGUCACUGGGCCAUUACUGACGCUGAGGAACGAAAGCAUGGGUAGCGAACAGG